UACGUAGGGUGCAGGCGUUAAUCGGAAUUACUGGGCGUAAAGCGUGCGCAGGCGGUCUACUAAGACAGGUGUGAAAUCCCCGGGCUUAACCUGGGAACUGCGCUUGUAACUGGUAGGCUUGAGUGUGGCAGAGGGGGGUGGAAUUCCAGGUGUAGCAGUGAAAUGCGUAGAUAUCUGGAGGAACACCGAUGGCGAAGGCAGCCCCCUGGGCUAACACUGACGCUCAUGCACGAAAGCGUGGGGAGCAAACAG
rnacentral:rRNA from 1 species